rnacentral:rRNA from 1 species
CCCUGCCAUUUGUACACACCGCCCGUCGCUCCUACCAAUUUCGAGUGGCUCGGUGAGCCUUUCUUCUCUCGACUGCUUCGGCGACGCACGAAGAAUUGCAAACCUGGUCACUUAGAGGAAGGAGAAGU